rnacentral:tRNA from 1 species
CCUGUCGUCCAAGAUGGGUUUGACCAAAGCAAGCUUGGCAUCCGUGUACCAGCGGGAUAAGGAAUUUCCGUUCGAUUCGGAACGGAAGCU